GUGGUAGUAGCUCAGUGGUGCAGCUUCCGCUUCGUGCGCGGGAAGGUCUGGGUUCGAUUCCCAGCUGCUUCU
rnacentral:tRNA from 1 species